rnacentral:rRNA from 1 species
GGAUUAGAUACCCUGGUAGUCCACGCCGUAAACGAUGUCUACUAGUUGUCGGGGGUCUUGUAUCUUUGGUAACGAAGCUAACGCGAUAAGUAGACCGCCUGGGGAGUACGGCCGCAAGGUUAAAACUCAAAUGAAUUGACGGGGGCCCGCACAAGCGGUGGAGCAUGUGGUUUAAUUCGAAGCAACGCGAAGAACCUUACCUGGCCUUGACAUCCUGCGAGCCCCCUAGAGAUAGGGGGGUGCCUUCGGGAGCGCAGUGACAGGUGCUGCAUGGCUGUCGUCAGCUCGUGCCG